AGCGAACGCUGGCGGCAGGCCUAACACAUGCAAGUCGAACGGACCCUUCGGGGUUAGUGGCGGACGGGUGAGUAACACGUGGGAACGUGCCUUUAGGUUCGGAAUAGCUCCUGGAAACGGGUGGUAAUGCCGAAUGUGCCCUUCGGGGGAAAGAUUUAUCGCCUUUAGAGCGGCCCGCGUCUGAUUAGCUUGUUGGUGGGGUAAUGGCCCACCAAGGCUACGAUCAGUAGCUGGUCUGAGAGGAUGACCAGCCACAUUGGGACUGAGACACGGCCCAAACUCCUACGGGAGGCAGCAGUGGGGAGUCUUGCGCAAUGGGCGAAAGCCUGACGCAGCCAUGCCGCGUGUAUGAUGAAGGUCUUAGGAUUGUAAAAUACUUUCACCGGUGAAGAUAAUGACUGUAGCCGGAGAAGAAGCCCCGGCUAACUUCGUGCCAGCAGCCGCGGUAAUACGAAGGGGGCUAGCGUUGCUCGGAAUUACUGGGCGUAAAGGGAGCGUAGGCGGACAUUUAAGUCGA
rnacentral:rRNA from 1 species